UACGGAGGGUGCAAGCGUUAUUCAUCCUUAUUGGGCGUAAAGGGUAUGUAGGUGAUGAAAAGUUUUUUUUUGGAAAUGUCAGAUAUCCUUUUGACAAAAAAGAAAAAAUUGAUUAAUUUGAGAUGUUCGAGGUUGGCGGUAUUACUAAUGUAAAGGUAAAAUCUUACGAGAUUAGUACGAAUACCAGUGGCGCAGGCGGCUUUCUUAAACAUCUAACACUGAGAUACUAAAGCAUGGGGAUCAAACAGG
rnacentral:rRNA from 1 species